CCUACGGGAGGCAGCAGUAGGGAAUAUUGGUCAAUGGGGGAAAGCCUGAAGCAGCAACGCCGCGUGAAGGAUGAAGGUUUUCCGAUUGUUAACUCCUUUUGUUAGAGAAGAUAAUUACGGUAUCUAACCAAUAAUCACCGGCUAACUCGGUUCCAGCAGCCGCGGUAAUACGGAGGGUGCAAGCGUUACUCGGAAUCACUGGGCGUAAAGGGGGCGUAGGCGGGAUAGCAAGUCAGAUGUGAAAUCCUACGGCUUAACCAUAGAAUUGCAUUUGAAACUGUUAUUCUUGAGUAUGGGAGAGGUAGGUGGAAUUCUUGGUGUAGGGGUAAAAUCCGUAGAGAUCAAGAGGAAUACUCAUUGCGAAGGCGACCUGCUAGAACGUAACUGACGCUGAUGCGCGAAAGCGUGGGGAGCAAACAGGAUUAGAUACCCUUGUAGUC
rnacentral:rRNA from 1 species